GUUGUAUGGUUAAGUGACUAAGCGUACACGGUGGAUGCCUUGGCAGUUGGAGGCGAUGAAGGACGUACUAACUUGCGAUAAGCCUAGUCAAGCCAGUAAGAGGCGCUUGAGACUAGGAUUUCCGAAUGGGGAAACCCACCUGCUUGCAGGUAUCGUUAACUGAAUACAUAGGUUAACGAGGCGAACGCGGAGAACUGAAACAUCUAAGUACCCGUAGGAAAAGAAAUCAACCGAGAUUCCGAAAGUAGCGGCGAGCGAAAUCGGAGCAGCCCUUAAGCUUUAAUGUAGUUAGUGGAACAUGUUGGAAAGCAUGACGAAACAGGGUGAUAGUCCCGUACACGACAACUUAUUUAGAGUGAAAUCGAGUAGGUCGGAGCACGUGAAACUUUGACUGAAUAUGGGGGGACCAUCCUCCAAGGCUAAAUACUCCCAACUGACCGAUAGUGAACCAGUACCGUGAGGGAAAGGCGAAAAGAACCCCUGUGAGGGGAGUGAAAUAGAACCUGAAACCGUGUACGUACAAGCAGUAGGAGCCUACUUGUUAGGUGACUGCGUACCUUUUGUAUAAUGGGUCAGCGACUUAUAUUCUGUAGCGAGGUUAACCAUUUAGGGGAGCCGUAGCGAAAGCGAGUCUUAACUGGGCGCUUAAGUUGCAGGGUAUAGACCCGAAACCCGGUGAUCUAGCCAUGGGCAGGUUGAAGGUUGAGUAACAUCAACUGGAGGACCGAACCCACUAACGUUGAAAAGUUAGGGGAUGACCUGUGGCUAGGAGUGAAAGGCUAAUCAAACCGGGAGAUAGCUGGUUCUCCCCGAAAUCUAUUUAGGUAGAGCCUCGGACGAAUACUUACGGGGGUAGAGCACUGUUAAGGCUAGGGGGUCAUCCCGACUUACCAACCCUUUGCAAACUCCGAAUACCGUAAAGUACUAUCCGGGAGACACACGGCGGGUGCUAACGUCCGUCGUGGAGAGGGAAACAACCCAGACCGUCAGCUAAGGUCCCAAAGUGUAUGUUAAGUGGGAAACGAUGUGGGAAGGCUAAAACAGCUAGGAGGUUGGCUUAGAAGCAGCCACCCUUUAAAGAAAGCGUAAUAGCUCACUAGUCGAGUCGGCCUGCGCGGAAGAUGUAACGGGGCUAAACAUACCACCGAAGCUACGGCUGCGAACUUUGUUUGCGGGGUAGGGGAGCGUUCUGUAAGUGGCUGAAGGUGUGCCGGGAGGCAUGCUGGACAUAUCAGAAGUGCGAAUGCUGACAUGAGUAACGAUAAUGCGGGUGAAAAACCCGCACGCCGGAAGACCAAGGGUUCCUAUCCCAUGUUAAUCAGGGUAGGGUGAGUCGACCCCUAAGGCGAGGCUGAAGAGCGUAGUCGAUGGGAAACGGGUUAAUAUUCCCGUACUUGGUAUAAAUGCGAUGGGGGGACGGAGCAGGCUAGGCAAGCAUGGCGUUGGUUGUCCAUGUGAAAGGCUGUAGGCUGGUGACUUAGGAAAAUCCGGGUUGCUAAGGCCGAGAGUCGAGACGAGCCACUAAGGUGGUGAAGUUGUUGAUGCCCUACUUCCAGGAAAAGCCUCUAAGCUUCAGUUUAUAUCGAAUCGUACCCUAAACCGACACAGGUGGUCAGGUAGAGAAUACUAAGGCGCUUGAGAGAACUCGGGUGAAGGAACUAGGCAAAAUUGUACCGUAACUUCGGGAGAAGGUACGCUCUUACUUGUGAAGACUUCGCGUCGUAAGCAGGCGAGAGCCGCAGUGACCAGGUGGCUGGGACUGUUUAUUAAAAACACAGCACUGUGCAAAAUCGUAAGAUGACGUAUACGGUGUGACACCUGCCCGGUGCCGGAAGGUUAAUUGAUGGGGUUAGCUUAGGCGAAGCUCUUGAUCGAAGCCCCGGUAAACGGCGGCCGUAACUAUAACGGUCCUAAGGUAGCGAAAUUCCUUGUCGGGUAAGUUCCGACCUGCACGAAUGGUGUAACCAUGGCCACGCUGUCUCCACCCGAGACUCAGUGAAAUUGAAAUCGCAGUGAAGAUGCUGUGUACCCGCGGCUAGACGGAAAGACCCCGUGAACCUUUACUACAGCUUGGCACUGAACAUUGACCCUACAUGUGUAGGAUAGGUGGGAGGCUUUGAAGCGCAGACGCUAGUUUGUGUGGAGCCGACCUUGAAAUACCACCCUUGUAGUGUUGAUGUUCUAACUUAGGCCCCUGAAUCGGGGUUGAGGACAGUGCCUGGUGGGUAGUUUGACUGGGGCGGUCUCCUCCCAAAGAGUAACGGAGGAGCACGAAGGUUUGCUAAGUACGGUCGGACAUCGUACGGUUAGUGUAAUGGUAGAAGCAAGCUUAACUGCGAGACAGACACGUCGAGCAGGUACGAAAGUAGGUCAUAGUGAUCCGGUGGUUCUGAAUGGAAGGGCCAUCGCUCAACGGAUAAAAGGUACUCCGGGGAUAACAGGCUGAUACCGCCCAAGAGUUCAUAUCGACGGCGGUGUUUGGCACCUCGAUGUCGGCUCAUCACAUCCUGGGGCUGAAGUCGGUCCCAAGGGUAUGGCUGUUCGCCAUUUAAAGUGGUACGCGAGCUGGGUUUAGAACGUCGUGAGACAGUUCGGUCCCUAUCUGCCGUGGGCGUUUGAGAAUUGAGAGGGGCUGCUCCUAGUACGAGAGGACCGGAGUGGACGAACCGCUGGUGUUCGGGUUGUGAUGCCAAUUGCAUUGCCCGGUAGCUAUGUUCGGAACUGAUAACCGCUGAAAGCAUCUAAGCGGGAAGCAGGCCUCGAGAUGAGUUCUCACUUGGACUUAGAGUCCACUAAAGGGCCGUUGAAGACUACAACGUUGAUAGGCGAGAUGUGGAAGUGCUGUGAGGCAUUAAGCUAACUCGUACUAAUUACCCGUGAGGCUUAACCAUACAACGCCAAAGUGGUUUAAG
rnacentral:rRNA from 1 species